UUUUGACAAUUGGCUCUGUCACAACUCAAGCACGACAUAUUUGGAGUGAUUGUAAGCAAUUAAUACGAUAAGGAAACCAACCCUAGAUGGUCUAAAGCAGUGGACAAAAACCGGUAAAAAGAAUUGAGUAUCCACCAAACUAGAGAGAACGACGACAAAACCAUCCUAAAAUCACUUGCAAAAGCAAGACUACAUGCAUAAGCAAGUCUAAAAACCAUGUUACAAGAG
rnacentral:lncRNA from 1 species